GCCGCCGUAGCACAAAGGUAGUGCAUUGCCUUCCUAAAUCUUACUCGAUUGGGCUCUAAAUUGCUCGUUAUGUAAAUAGUGAGGCAAAGGUUGUGGGUUCGAGCCCCAUCGGCGGUU